GUCGCGUCGUAGUCGCGGUGGAUGCUGGCGGUGUGCCAAUAGAUGCAAGUCGUACGCAUUCCCGUUAUCUUGAUUGAAGGUGCUUGCACCUGAUUGAUAAAACAUCGGAAUGAGUGGCGGACGGGUGAGUAACACGUGGGUAACCUGCCCAGAAGUGGGGGAUAACAUUUGGAAACAGAUGCUAAUACCGCAUAAUAGAUAGAACCACAUGGUUCUAUUUUGAAAGAUGGCCUUUGUGCUAUCACUUCUGGAUGGACCCGCGGUGUAUUAGCUAGUUGGUAAGGUAACGGCUUACCAAGGCAAUGAUACAUAGCCGACUGAGAGGUUGAUCGGCACAUGGACUGAGACACGGCCAUACUCUACGGGAGGCACAGUAGGAAUCUCACAUGGCGCAGCUGAUGACACCCCCGGAGUGAAAAGGUCCGCUCGAAAAUCUGUGUAAAAAACGAUUAAGUAUGUUGGUGGCGGUUUAACCGAUUGGGUAGGGCCGGGUUUUAUUAGUGACUGGUACAAAAGCCAAGGAUUGGGAAAGAGGGACCUGAGGAAGUAAUUGAACCGGAGGGUUGUUUCCUGCCAGGGAAAAACCGCUCCAACAAGGGGGCCCCCGGAAAACCGGACGGAAAAGGCCCGGGUUUAACACUUCCAAAAUUUUCCAUGCCCCCCCGGAGGAAGCUUUCUCUCUCGGGGUCCUUUCUUGGAGGCGAAAAAAUAUUUUAGUACCAAGCGACCCCUGCUGCCAGCAAGUUUUUUAUUGUUGGUAUAACUCCCCAGUAGCUUGUGGAACGGUUAGAUUUCAAAAUAAAAAUAGAAAAAACCUUGGAAUUAUAAACCUGAGGGUUGUUACGUGGUGACAGUAGACGUAACCUGUCACGUACGAGUAAGGGAGGUUCCCUCAGCAAUAACAUACAUCCCUGGGUAGCCCAGUGAACUCAAGAUGCGGGCCCCCAAGGGGGGCAGGGUUAUCGAGCACCGGAAACUACAGUUUGACACUACGCCAUUCCAGAGUGGGCGUCCUUCGGGCCCAAGACAGGUGUGCAUGGUGUCGUCAGCUCGUGUCGGAGAUGUGGGGUAAGUCCCGCAACGAGCGCAACCCUUAUUAUCAGUGCCAGCAUUUAGUUGGGCACUCUGGUGAGACUGCCGGUGACAAACCGGAGGAAGGUGGGGACGACGUCAAAUCAUCAUGCCCCUUAUGACCUGGGCUACACACGUGCUACAAUGGACGGUACAACGAGUUGCGAACUCGCGAGGGUAAGCUAAUCUCAUAUAUACGUUCUCAGUUCGUACUGUAGGCUGCAACUCGCCUACACGAAGUCGGAAUCGCUAGUAAUCGCGGAUCAGCAUGCCGCGGUGAAUACGUUCCCGGGCUGUCACACCGCCCGACACACCCGACUACGUCGACUAUCUACGCG
rnacentral:rRNA from 1 species